AAAAAGAUAAGCUAAUAUAAGCUUUUGGGCCCAUACCCCAUUGAUUUUACUUUUUA
rnacentral:tRNA from 1 species